GGGACACGUGGUAUCCUGUCUGAAUAUGGGGGGACCAUCCUCCAAGGCUAAAUACUCCUGACUGACCGAUAGUGAACCAGUACCGUGAGGGAAAGGCGAAAAGAACCCCGGCGAGGGGAGUGAAAAAGAACCUGAAACCGUGUACGUACAAGCAGUGGGAGCACCUUCGUGGUGUGACUGCGUACCUUUUGUAUAAUGGGUCAGCGACUUAUAUUCUGUAGCAAGGUUAACCGUAUAGGGGAGCCGAAGGGAAACCGAGUCUUAACUGGGCGUUAAGUUGCAGGGUAUAGACCCGAAACCCGGUGAUCUAGCCAUGGGCAGGUUGAAGGUUGGGUAACACUAACUGGAGGACCGAACCGACUAAUGUUGAAAAAUUAGCGGAUGACUUGUGGCUGGGGGUGAAAGGCCAAUCAAACCGGGAGAUAGCUGGUUCUCCCCGAAAGCUAUUUAGGUAGCGCCUCGUGAACUCAUCUUCGGGGGUAGAGCACUGUUUCGGCUAGGGGGCCAUCCCGGCUUACCAACCCGAUGCAAACUACGAAUACCGAAGAAUGUUAUCACGGGAGACACACGGCGGGUGCUAACGUCCGUCGUGAAGAGGGAAACAACCCAGACCGCCAGCUAAGGUCCCAAAGUCAUGGUUAAGUGGGAAACGAUGUGGGAAGGCACAGACAGCCAGGAUGUUGGCUUAGAAGCAGCCAUCAUUUAAAGAAAGCGUAAUAGCUCACUGGUCGAGUCGGCCUGCGCGGAAGAUGUAACGGGGCUAAACCAUGCACCG
rnacentral:rRNA from 1 species